rnacentral:rRNA from 1 species
UGGGGAAUAUUGCACAAUGGGCGCAAGCCUGAUGCAGCCAUGCCGCGUGUGUGAAGAAGGCCUUCGGGUUGUAAAGCACUUUCAGCGAGGAGGAAGGGUAGUGUGUUAAUAGCACAUUGCAUUGACGUUACUCGCAGAAGAAGCACCGGCUAACUCCGUGCCAGCAGUCGCGGUAAUACGGAGGGUGCAAGCGUUAAUCGGAAUUACUGGGCGUAAAGCGCACGCAGGCUGUUUGUUAAGUCAGAUGUGAAAUCCCCGCGCUUAACGUGGGAACUGCAUUUGAAACUGGCAAGCUAGAGUCUUGUAGAGGGGGGUAGAAUUCCAGGUGUAGCGGUGAAAUGCGUAGAGAUCUGGAGGAAUACCGGUGGCGAAGGCGGCCCCCUGGACAAAGACUGACGCUCAGGUGCGAAAGCGUGGGGAGCAAACA